UUGUAGUAUAGGCCACUGGUUUGGUUUCUGUAUUUAUGUUCCUGCCUUAGUUCAGCUCUGUAGUUGGUCAUUGUGUUAGAUGUUACUCUGUGCUGUAUUACAGAGCCGCCAUUGGAUCAUCAUCACCUCUUCCUGCCUGUACUAUGCCCUGUUGCCAUGACAAUGGUACCCAUUUUAAGUCAACUUCUUUGUGGCCGGGUCCAGUACUAAGAACAGAAGCGCAGAGGACGGUAAAAAUCCUCAGAUGUUGUUCUAACCCCACCCCACAAAUCAAGGAUUCAUCGGUUGCAACCUCACCAAAUGAGAACAAUGCAUUAUAUACUGUAUAACUUCGUUAUGGCAUAAAAUUAGAACGAAAGUUCAUAUUCAGACUUGCUUAGGCCUUGAGACUUGACUUGUGGCUUUGGUUUGUUGACUCGAGACUUGCCUGUUUUAA